rnacentral:rRNA from 1 species
GACGAACGCUGGCGGCGUGCUUAACACAUGCAAGUCGAACGGAAAGGCCCUGCUUUUGUGGGGUGCUCGAGUGGCUAACGGGUGAGUAACACGUGAGUAACCUGCCCUUGACUUUGGGAUAACUUCAGGAAACUGGGGCUAAUACCGGAUAGGAGCUCCUGCUGCAUGGUGGGGGUUGGAAAGUUUCGGCGGUUGGGGAUGGACUCGCGGCUUAUCAGCUUGUUGGUGGGGUAGUGGCUUACCAAGGCUUUGACGGGUAGCCGGCCUGAGAGGGUGACCGGCCACAUUGGGACUGAGAUACGGCCCAGACUCCUACGGGAGGCAGAAGUGGGGAAUAUUGCACAAUGGGCGGAAGCCUGAUGCAGCAACGCCGCGUGCGGGAUGACGGCCUUCGGGUUGUAAACCGCUUUCGCCUGUGACGAAGCGUGAGUGACGGUAAUGGGUAAAGAAGCACCGGCUAACUACGUG